AACUACGAAAAUAAACCGGCGAAAAAAAAACGCCAAACGAAUCGCACGGAGCGAACGAGCGAGGCCUCAGGGUGCCCUCGAGCCAGAACCACUCGCAGCAGAUCCCUUCGCCGCUGCCCUCGCAGAUCAUCCCCCCCGCCGAUCCAUCCCUUCGCCGCCGCCGAUCCCUGCGCGUGCGAGGACGAUCCACUACAGGAGACGCCGCCGAUCCCGUGGAGGACCCGUCGCCGAUCCCCUUCAGGAGCCGACGCCGAUCCCCUAAGCCGGCGCUGAUCCCCGUUGAGGAGCCACCGACAAGAUCACUGAGGUUUAUUGGGGAGUGCUCAUACGCGUGAUGGAGAGAAGACAACACGCUUUGCUCCUCCUCCAAGCCUGCAAGUCUGCUUCUUUUCACCACAAGUUUUGUAGAUCAAUUCGCAUCAUAUUGUGGUCAGAGUGCCAUGUCCGCCCCGUAAGGCUUUAUUUGGUAGAAGUGGAUUGGGAGGUUUGGGGAGGGGGGGAUUUCAGAGGAUUGGGUGAAUCCCUUCCUUCCACCCAAUCCCCUCAAAACCCCUUGAAUCCUCAAAAUUCCUCCAUCCUCAAUCCUCUUUGUAUAGAAAGUGUUGUUUGGUAGACAGGUUUGCAUAUAUUGAUAUAAAAUGGUGCAGAACAUCCAAAAAUCCAAUCUUUACAAACAAAACAACAUCAUAGCAGAAAAACUUGCUACAGGUAGAAUCCACACACAAACUAAACAUGCUGCUAUAGAACUGUAGAAGCCUUGUGGUGAUUGUCAAGCUCGUGCUAGGUGACGUCACUCUGGCAGCCAUCGUGGGAACACUUUAUCAUUGCCGAUGAGACAAUAUCAUCCACUGCAAGGCAGCGGACAAAGCCUCCGAUGUGCUCGCAAGUUAGGCACUAUCCGCCGGGGAGCUCAGCAAGGCAUGUGCCACAAGCUAAAUGUCCAUCGUUGCACUGCACAAAAGUCAAGAUCAUAGCAAUAUGUUAGUACUAAUGCUGCCUUUCUCAGGUGAAUGGAAAAAAGAAUAGGUCUAGCAUUUGCCUGUAAGACAGGAGGCGGCUACUUACCAAAUCUUAGUUGAGGAUGUAACCUGACUAACAAGGGGGAUAAUCACCAUGACCUUUAUAAACCAGAAAACACAUACAACCACAAUACAAAGGAUCACCCAAUAGCAGCAAGAGAAUCGUAUGGGAACUACAAUCUUAUUGGUAAACAGUUAGACAUCUCCACAGUAAGGUAGUAGUACUGCAUCUUCCUAACAACAACUGCUGACAAAAUCCCAAAAUUUACAGAAACCAUGAGGAACUGAUGACAAAAAGAUGACCAGAAGACUGAAUCUUCAUGUCUUGUCCAACAAAAGCAGUACAUGCCCAACUUGGAGUAGGAUACAGAACAAGCAACAAAAUGUGUUAGAUCUUAUCCGUGAACUGAUUAAGUGUUAGAAUAAAUACGAGGCACACAGUUGAUCUACCGAGGACCAAGCAAUCACACAAACUUGUUAGAAUAAAUAUGAGGCACACAGUUGAUCUACAGAGGACCAAGCAAUCACACAAGCACGAUACCGAGAUUUGUUAACGAGGUUCACCAUCGUGGCUACAUCCCCGGGGCAUGACUACGGGCACUCCUCCCCAUGACACCGCUACAAUACCGCAUCCCGGCCGCCGGGGCGCCGGCACAUGCCGUCGGCUCCCCCACGUGCUCGUGCUAUUAUGUUGGCAUAGGUUACAUUGUGUGUCUUCCCCCGAUAUAUAUGAGAGGCCUAGGAUACAAGUGUCCUACUUGGACACGACUCCAUAUCCUGUCUACACACCGUACGACUCCAAGUUCAACUGUAAGCUAACUUGUACAAUAAUAUUCGACACAACUCUAACAUUAAAAUUCAGGCAAAGGAAGACUCGGAACAGGCAUCUAAGAUGAAACAUAAUCAUUCGAACUAGAAACAAAUAUCUGACUGACGGCGACGACUUGUACAAUACAAGGUAUAAAGAAUGUUUACAAGCACAAUUUCAUCCAGCCAAACAUGUCCAACUGAACGAGCAUCUGACCCUAGGUAUAAACAGAAAUGAUGCAAAUAAAAAUGAAUAUACACAAAGCUUUGGGAUAAUAUAUUUUUUCUAAGCUUGGUAGAAUAUUGCCAAUACAAUAUCUACAGAUUUUGGAGGCUGCUGCUACUGCCUAGGGUCGGCUAACUCUCCAUACUUCUGUGUCCACAUACUUACCUAACCUAUCUAUCAUCGCAUACAAUCAAUUUGCUUGCUUCAGAAUUCCCAUUUUAAAAACUGAUAAACACCCAAAAAAACUGAGCUCAUGGUUGCUACUACAGAACUCAUCACAAGUCUUUCGAAUUUCAUACGAACAGUAUCUCUGCAUGUUAAAUAUGCAGCAAUCGUCCAGGUUUAUCUGAAACUCAGAUCAUCUUUGAAGAAAAAAGCCAUGCUCGCAUACAAAAAGUUCAGUGUGGCGUAGGAUGGUGGAGCAUCGGAGUCGGAUUAUUUUCAUGCGACAGAACAUAAAUAGGCCAACCUAUGUUCUAGUACUCCAGUUUACUCAACGAAUUACCACAUACUAAUGUACACAGAUGCACCAAAGUCUUCGUCGUUCACAACAAUGGUAUAUCCACACCCCCAAAAUUUACCAGGUUUCAAUUGCCAACAAACCAGUAGUGCCAAAAGCAUCUAGUAAGUACUAUAAGAUGGAGCAUCUAAACUAGCACCUCUGGGAGAACAUGACAGAUUCUCAUUUGGAAAAUAAUCAUACUCUAAGAUAGAGCAUCUAAACUAGCACAUCUGGGAGAACAUGAUGGAUUCUCAUUUAGAAAAUAAUCAUACUCUUGAGAUCAUAAUUCAAAGGCAUAACCAUGUCAUUCUAACAUUCUGAAGAAGCUAUAUGCAGACUGAUAAAAGAUACUCCCUCCGUCCCAUAAUGUAGGACGUUUUUUUGACACUAGUUUAGUGUCAAAAAAGGUCUUACAUUAUGGGACCGAGGGAGUACAAAUUAACAAAAUACUAAGAUUAGGAGAUGCCACGGUGGAGAUGGGGCGUCCAGGAGGGCGGCGACUCAAGCAAGGUUGGAGAAUAUGGACCAUGUGGAGCCAUGGGUAGGAGAUGGCGUGCUUGGCAAGCUCGCCGAGUAGGACGAGGAGAACAGAGGUCUGGACCUCGCAGGAGGCGGCAGCCAUGGUGGGUGAAGGUGAGAAACCCUAGGCGAGGGGAAUGGAGGGAAAGGGGCGGCGGAGACGUACCUCUGGCGAGAAGGACCGGUUUGUUUGCUGGAGAAGGGACACCGACGUUGCGGCGGCGGCGGAGGCGGCGGCGGCUGCGGUGGCGUGCGGCCUCCUCCCACUCUUUUUCAGUUCGUCACCUCUUUUUCCCCUUCAUUCCACGAGCCCCCACUCGGGGCUUCGAAACCACCUACAUCAGGGGGAAUUCCGGGGAUUGCAGGGGGUUCCCUUCCUCCAAACCCCGGCUACCAAACGAUUACUCGGGGAUUCGUGAGGUUUCUGAGCCUCGCGAGGAUAAUCCCCUGAAAACCUCCCCAAACCUCUCUUACCAAACGAGGCCUAAUGGGCGGUCGCAGCAGCUAUUGGUUCUCCUGUGCCAUGUCCGCCCAUGAUACUGCAGGGGAUCCACCGUCUGAUGAUGUUGCCGCCGUUGCGGCGCAGGCCGCAGAUCGGAAUUCUGCCUGAUGGAUUCAAACGGCAGAUGCUACGGGGCAGCCAGAUCGAGUCCCACCCUGAGGGCUCGACCUUCUUGGUCCACGGUUGUGGUCGGUGCGGAACUCAACCCCCCGAAGAUGUGCGCAAGGUUGAUACAACCGGGGCUAUCAAGCUUCAUGCAUGAAUUUUUUUGUGUUCUUCGAUGCAAGCAUAUUACAUAAAGAUACAAGCCAGCUACUAGCUAAAGGAAUUUUGUUUGUCUUUGAUACGGUUGACCUCUUAGAGGAAUUGUCCUUUAGGAUAAUUUGAUUACGUUUCCACGAAUAUCCGGUAAUUUCAUCUCUUGUUUCACGAAGUGGGCUCUUCAAUCUUCUCAAGCUGAUAUAUUAGGUGUUGGUUUCUUCAUCUCUAAAAUCAACACUAUCUAAUAAUAAAUAUCUCAAAUAUUUGCAGGUAGAAUUAGUGCUUUCACAACACUCAGCGGGAGCUAAAGCUGUAGUUUUUCAUGCGCAUGUGCUAAUCGCCUUGAGGAGAAAAUUGUUGCUUGUGUUAGCAUCAGGCAAGACUGGAGGUGGAUUGAUGCAACAACUAAUCACCAAAGAGAACGCAAAGAGGUAUCUUAAUUACAGGUACCUGAAAGGCUGAACCUGAUCUUUGAUGAACUAGAAGGCCAAGAGACCAAGGUAUGCCCGUUCAUAGCUUGAUUCCUUACCAUAUAAUUGCUGAAACAUGCAGCAGACACAUGAUUAACCUUUGUACUUUAUACUUCGCUGGAACAUUUAGGACUCCAGUGGGCGACUCCUGAAAUGAGUACUCCUGAAACUUUAACCAGUGGCCAUGUUGAUGGUAUUUUUUGGGAACAGGGGAGGGCGUGUGUUAUUGUUCAAACCAGGCGCCUGAUUUUUUUCAAUCUUUAGCCAGUGACCACAUUGCUGCCCCAAGCGAUGAACAGGGGAGGGCGUGUGUUAUUGCAGUUAACUAUGUGUCAUCUGGUCUUCAUAGUGAUUGGUAGCUUCAAACCAUAAGCCACCUCUGAAUUCAUAUCGAAGUCAUGCGAGCUGGGCUUUUGUUGCUUGGAUCUCCAGGGGCCUGAUCAAUUGAACAAGUAUAUUGGGGAGAGUGAAUCAGAAGUAAGGAAAAUAUGAACUCGUGCAAGCACUAACUCAUCAUACAUCCUUUUUUUCUGAGGUAAAACUAAGUAGUUGUGGCAGCUUUGGAUGAGAGAACCCAAUUCCUGGUAAAUUGGACAUCAUCAAUGAGUUCGUCGAGUUUGAUUGAACUCUCACACUUUGAACAUCCUCUAUUUAAAGCAAGGCCAUCCCUGUCAUAACAGGUACAGUAAAAUGCCAACACAUAUAUGAUUGAUGUUAUGAUAGUAUACUUGACUUUGGGAUGAUGAGAUCGACGGAAGCAACAGGAGCCCACGACUCAUGGGGAGGGCGUGUAACAAUGCUUUCCUACAUUUGGUGGAUUAUUGCAUUUGUAUUUUUUAUUGUUAUCAUCUAGAAGAUUAUAUUCUGUAUGAAUGCUUUUAACAAUGCUUCGUCAUGCCGUCCCCGCCGAUGCUGCUGUUCAUGCCGUCCCCCCAGUGCCUAGCAUCACCGGCAACAAGUUCAGCGCUGUCCGACAAGGUGCCCUGCAGGGACAACCUCCGUCGACCUGUCAUCGAACUUCAGUAUGCGUGCUUUGUUCUCUGAAACUGAAUUCAGACCUUGAGUACUACUUUUAUUUGAAAGAAAAUAUGUGCGCGAUUCCAUAACUUAUGCCAAAAUGCAUAGCAUAGCUUGGUAUACACGAAUUGCAAUCUGAACGUUUUUCUCUGUGUCGUCGUCCUGCUUUCUGGUUCUCUGUUAUCUGUCAUCUUAUAUCUCUGAAUUGUUGUUGGCUGCAUGCGCAGCUGCUUUAGGCAGGAGCAGUGACUAGCAUUGACCAGGAGGAGCAAGAAGCAGCGACAGCUACCAUUGCUGGCUGAGCUAGCUGCUAGGUUGCCUCUCUCUUUCCCUCAUAUAUGUGGGUUUGCAACAGCCAAAAAUACGCUUGCGAUUCUUUGUUUUCACUAACAGUCCAUAUUUGGAUGCCUUCUUUCUACCCAGCUUUGGUUACUUGCGACGGGUUGUGGGCUGCAAGUUAGAAUAAUCGGUACUGAAAACGGCUUCUGAAUGUUAAAAAGCCAAUGGGGUAGAAAGCUAGAGAUAACUAGGGGUUGGGACGCCACCUUGUGGCGCCUCAUGAGAGGAAGCUGGGCGGUGCCAGGUUGGCAGCCGCCCAUUCUAGUUCUUUUUUUACAAUUUUGGUAACACCGCAACAUGACAUGUUAGUGAGAAGUUGCACUAUAAAUUUUGGAGGUUUAUGAUGACGGAGGAGAUAUCAUCUUUGCUCCUCCUAUUCACAGGUUGAAGCUCUACUAGCAACGGAUGUUUACGACGAUGCAGGAGAUGCCGUCUUUGCUUCUACUGUUCAUCGGCUGAUCCGUGAGAUGCUUCGCAGUUGCCUGUGUGUCCCUGAUGUCAUUGAUCUUUGUCAGAUAAUAUGUCUAUCUAUUUGUAAAGAUUGAUAGUCCACCUUACUAUCUAGAUAUUUUCAGUCCUUUUCAAAGGAACCAAACCAUUUGUAGUUGACAGUUUAUACAAAUACAUACCCAUGAUUAUUAAGAUGACAUGUACACAUUAUUUUGUC